rnacentral:tRNA from 1 species
GCCAGGGUCGUAGCGCAGAGGCAGGCGCGCCGGACUCCACAUCCGGAGCACGCCGGUUCGAAUCCGGCCGCCCUGGCA